CUUUAUUUCAUCAUCGUAGGUAUUUAUAGGCAUUACAGUCGGGGUAAAGUAGUAAAUUCGUUUGGUCAUCUAUUCCGCAUGCUCGCCAUUAAACUAAUUAAGGCUAUUAUUAGAUUAUAACUUGUCAGGUCGUUGUCCCCUAAUUACAGAGCUGGAUUCUGUCCUCAUCAUCCCGCUCUGUCUAGUAGCUCUGGAUUUCCUUCCUUGGGGCAGACUUCUACUCUUUGGCUCCGCUCUGCUAAGUAGCUCCGCCUUCUGGCGAAUUGUCUCUGGCAUGUGGCUCCGCGCUCUGGCUCCAAUAGCUUAGCUCUGACUCUGGAUCUGGCGAUUUGGCUCUGGCUUUGACUCUAACGACUUAGCUCUGACUCUGGAUCUGGCGACUUGGCUCUGGCUCUGACUUUAAUGACUUAGCUCUGGCAUCUCUGCUCUGGCAGCUCUGUUCUGGCAUCUCUGCUCUGGCAACUUGGCUCUGGCCCUCUGCUCUGGUUAGCUCUGGCUCUGGCAGCUCUGCUUUGGCAACUCUGCUCUGGCAGCUUUGCUCUGGCAUCUCUGCUCUGGUUAGCUCUGGCUUUGGCAUCUCUGCUCUGGCU
rnacentral:lncRNA from 1 species